rnacentral:rRNA from 1 species
CCUACGGGGUGCAGCAGUAGGGAAUCUUGCACAAUGGGCGAAAGCCUGAUGGAGCAACGCCGCGUGCAGGAUGAAGGCCUUCGGGUUGUAAACUGCUUUUAUAAGCGAGAAAUAUGAUGGUAACUUAUGAAUAAGGAUCGGCUAACUACGUGCCAGCAGCCGCGGUCAUACGUAGGAUCCGAGCAUUAUCCGGAGUGACUGGGUGUAAAGAGUUGCGUAGGUGGCAUAAUAAGGAGCUAGUGAAAUCUGGUGGCUCAACCAUUCAGACUGUUAGCUAAACUGUUAAGCUCGAGACCGUUAGAGGUAACUGGAAUUUGUGGUGUAGGGGUGAAAUCCGUAGAUAUUAGGAGGAACACCGAUUGCGUAGGCAGGUUACUGGGACGGUACUGACACUGAGGCACGAAAGCGUGGGGAGCAAACAGGAUUAGAUACCCUAGUAGUC